GACCUAAACAGCAUGGCCGCUCCCACCAUCUUAGAUCGUAUUGAUUGUUCUUUGCCGUAACGUCCGUCUCUCCCACACGCGCUGCCUCUUUUUCUGCCCCCCUCCUCCGUCACGUUUUUCUGCCACCUUCUCCACUCAGCAAUCAUCAUUUGGCUUUUUCCAUUCGCAGAACGCUGUUGUACAACAACUCCCGGCUCCGUUUGGCUCUCGUUCCAGAAACUGCAAAAGCAGUCGGGGUUCCAACUUUUUUUUUCUUCCCCUCUGCCUCAAACUACAGGAUCUUUCUGCUUUAUAAUCUACAAUCUGCUGGGAUUUAAAGAGAGUAAAAAGGGGACUACUUGCAGAGACAAUGGGAGAGAGAGGAAAGCUGGUGGGGGUCAAAGCUUUCUUGCUCUUUCUGAGAUCUCUUGGUGCGACUCGAGCUCCGAGCGGUUUGCCUGACAUGGCGGCUACAGCUUCAGGCUUCUAGAGCGCCGCCGCCCCGCUACGCUCGCAGGCACGCAGCACAGAGACUUUAUUCUCCGCAAAAACUAGCCUCCUUUGUGCACUUCUAUUUGCUCCGCAGGUUUUAAAGAACAAAACAUCAGGAGGCUGAACACAGACGAUGUGCAGAAUUAGUGCUGUUUACACCAACGCGCUGCAGGAAAGGCUGAAACUGCGUUUCAUUCGCUGUCCUUUCCCUGAGUGAGCUGCGUGCUCGGUUGAGGCUUCCACACGGAAUGCUGCCAGUGCAGCUGCACGCCGAGACCUUUGAGGGCGCUCCCCAUCGAGCGGGGAACAAAGGCCGUGACCCCGAGGUCGCAAGGGUUACGCGGGAGGCCAAGUGGGCCCAUUGAAUGCUGCACUGCUGUUUGCUUUAAGAAGUCACCUCGGCAGCCGACUGUGACCACCCCUCUCUGCUCUCCGGGGGACGCGCGCACACACACACACACACACACACACACACACACACACACAUCACAGCCAGGUGUCACAACUGUUGUCUGGACAAGCAGGAAUAAAUAAAUACUAUAUUUCCACUGCAGUGUUUGUAAAAACAUUACACGUUAUUGUAAUAUUUACAAUAAGCAGAAGUUGAUCCUUAAAAUAAAUAAAAGAUUUAAAGGCCUUGCACUUUCAAGCCAGUCUACUGAAGUUCAUAAAAUGGAGCUCAUGCAGUCAAGUUGUCAUCACGAAAUGGUUGACGCUACACAUGCGCACACGAUGAAAAGCAAGGAAGGUGCGACUUGUGCAGUGCUGAGCUUACUUAAACCUCCCUGUCCACAUGAUAUAAUGAGACAUAUUCUCAAAAUGACUGCUUGUGAUUAAAUCUAAGCAUAGGACAAUUUAACGGAACCGAGGAAUAUCGGUAUUGACUUUUUUUUGGCAAGUCCAAGUUUGUGCAGCGAAUGUAAAAAUCAAUGUAGUUGCACUGAUAUUUUGAUAAUUGGUCUUCUCGUG
ensembl:lncRNA